rnacentral:lncRNA from 1 species
UUACCAAUGUGCCGCCCAACAGUAUCACCGCCAUUGCAAUGUGACACUGUCACUAUCACCAUCCCAAUAUCAUCCACUGCCAUUGCAAUGUUCUCGAAACAAAUUUAUCAAGUUUUUUUUCUCUUUCUCUAAAGCAGUUUUGACAUUAAUAUUUUUUUUUUUGGGUGAUAUUUUGGACAUUAAUAUUAUCAACUAGAUUUCUUGUUUUGUUUUGAAAAACAAGUUUCGAAAUUUGUUUUAUAAAAUUAUUUUUCUAAAUAAAAAAUCAGGAACAAAAUACAAUGAGCCCCAAUAUAUCCUCCUGCUCAAUCCUAUAUAUCUAGUCAAACAUAAUAUUUUAAGCACAAUUUUUUCACUUAAUAUUUUAUAAAUCAUCUAUAAAAUUUUGAACACUAUUUUUAGGAGAACAAUUGUUGACUCAUCCUUAGUCUCUAGAAGUACCUGCACAGGCAAUUCCUUAAACUUUGUAUUCCUCAAGAUGCAGCCACUUAGUUGAAGACCAUUUAUUUCCUCUAAUUACUGGGCAACCGC